UUGAUAGGCCGGAACUGGAAGCGCAGCAAUGCGUGCAGGUGACCGGUACUAAUCGGCCGAGGGCUUACACA
rnacentral:rRNA from 1 species